rnacentral:piRNA from 2 species
UCCUAUGAUUCUGGUGCAAAGUGC